CUCCAGGAGGUAGGGAGCCAGAGUGCAGGCUGUCAGCAGGUGCUGGACAUCAAGAUGUACCUGGAGGAUGAAAUGGGGACCUACCGUCACCUGCUCCAGUGAUCGGGCUGGUAUGUGGGAAGCUGUGAGUUUGGUGAAGAAGGGGAGCAGGUGGCGCUGGGAGCAAGUAUAGGUAUCUAGUUGCUCCUAUUGACGUUCUUAGCUGAAUGCAACUGUAUUAUAUCACAAGGGCUGAACACACUUCCACAAAGUCCAUCCGUCGUGAGUUUGAAACUGGAUCAGAAACAGGAAAUAAAAUCAAGGGUCUCCUGCUUGUUGAUCACCAGCCCAGCUCCCACCUCCUUGGAGCAGCAGGUAAGUGACUCUGUUCAUUGCCUCUGGGGAGAGUGA